UCUGCGACCCCGAAAGGACUUCCUACUAGUGGUAUUAAGGAAGGAUUUGUUGGCAGUGAUGAGUUGCUGCGCGGAUAUCAAAUUUCACGGUUACUUUAUCGGCGUUCUGGCCGGUCUGCUGGAGCUGAUUUCGUUGAGUAUUUCGGCCUACACGCAGCUUGUGGAUAAUGGCCGGAGUCAUUCUGAGCUACCGAAGGACUUGCUAGAUCUGGCCAGUUCUUCCGCCGUGGAUUAUGCCGGAGAUGUGCUGAUUUUACUUGCCAUUGGAAUGCUAAUUUACGGGAUAUACAAGGAAAACCGCUACUGCAUAGUCCCCUUCACGAUCGCCAUCUGCUUCGACUGGGUGUCCUACCUAGUGCAGAACAUUGACCAUGGGAUGCCAUACCACGUGUGGAUGCUAACUACUGCUUUCUUCGUGUACGUGUUUGUGGCGAUGCUCAGCCUCUUGAUACUGUUCGGGACGACAAUCAAAACGUCUAAAACCAACGAUGAUCUGUUCGUUAAGUUCCAAAGCGUAGAAACCGUGUGACCAAGAACGGUGACUUAUAGUCAAAAACCUCAUUUCUAUCUCUUUCUCUCUCUCACUCUCUUUCGCACAAAAGAAGCUGUACUGAUUGUAGUGUUGAAUGUAUAUAUGUGUUAUUUAUAACUAGACGUAAGUGUAACCAACAUAAGCUAGACGGCAGAAUAAAUGAUCAAAGAACAUAAAUACAAACCAAAAUAUAGCCUAUUGAUUGAUAACUGUAAUCCUUCGGGGGAUUGAGCGCGUGUAAUCGAAGCAGACGAAUGAAUUAAAAUAAGAAAAAAAAAUCAUUCGUCGAAGAGUAUUUCGCAGUUGAUAAGCAUCACCCGAGAGGUGCUGCCACUUCAACUAUCACAAAAAUUGAUUCGACCGUCGUCGGCCAGAUAUUCUCGAUUCUGUUUCCAAGUGCGAUGUUUUCGACAGUGUGAAGAACGAGCGCAACCCGGAAAGUUGCCGAACCAGUUCCGGUCCGAUUAGGUAGAGUGGAAUGGGCGGAAAAGUCACCGAUUGCUCGCUGCUGGACUGCCUGCUCAGCCCCAGACUCUAUGGCGUGCUGGUGGGUCUGAUGAGCCUGUGGGCGAUGUUCGCUUCCAUCUCGGCGUCGUUCUAUUUGCUAAUGAAGUACGAUGACAUCCGGAAGGUGCCGGACAGUUUGCAAACAUAUUACCACUACGCAUUAGUGGAUGUUAUCAUUGUACAGAUAGGGAUAGCAAUUGUCGGUUUCUACUUGUUUGGAAUUUACAAAGCAGACGAGCGUUAUUUGAUCCCAUUCUUAGCGCUACUCGUGGUGGACUUUUUGGCUUACAUUGUAUCUGAGGCACUAAUCUACGCCGACUAUCGCGGCAAGCGAAACCUCUUCCAGCUGCGAUGGAAGAAAAAUGCUUUCGAUACUGCCGUGUUUAUAUGCGUUCUUACCAUUGUUGUAACCCUGUAUCGAAGCUUUAAGCGAGAACGACACCACAAGGAUUCUAGGUUAGGUGGCUAUCAGAGUAUCCCGGACACUGCAGAGAAUUUUGCCAUGGACGGAGAAUUUGGCGAGAACUGAGUAUACAGUAGGUAAAUCAAUACAUUUUAUACAUUUUACACACAUCUACUUCUGAAGUCUACUUAGUUAGAACCAGUUAAAUUCUAAGUUGAAAACGUAAAAGAGAAUAAACUGUUUUUGGUUAAUAAA